UGGGUAAUCUGCCCUCGAUUCUGGGAUAGCCCGGGGAAACCCGGAUUAAUACCGGAUAUCCUCUCGAGCUUACGAGCUCUUGAGAAAAGGUAGCUUCGGCCUCCGAUCGAGGAUGAGCCCGCGGCGGAUUAGCUUGUUGGUGGGGUAAUGGCCUACCAAGGCGACGAUCCGUAGCUGGUCUGAGAGGACGAUCAGCCACACUGGGACUGAGACACGGCCCAGACUCCUACGGGAGCAG
rnacentral:rRNA from 1 species